rnacentral:rRNA from 1 species
GACGAACGCUGGCGGCGUGCUUAACACAUGCAAGUCGAACGGAAAGGCCCUGCUUUUGUGGGGUGCUCGAGUGGCGAACGGGUGAGUAACACGUGAGUAACCUGCCCUUGACUUUGGGAUAACUUCAGGAAACUGGGGCUAAUACCGGAUAGGAGCUCCUGCUGCAUGGUGGGGGUUGGAAAGUUUCGGCGGUUGGGGAUGGACUCGCGGCUUAUCAGCUUGUUGGUGGGGUAGUGGCUUACCAAGGCUUUGACGGGUAGCCGGCCUGAGAGGGUGGCCGGCCACAUUGGGACUGAGAUACGGCCCAGACUCCUACGGGACGCAGCAGUGGGGAAUAUUGCACAAUGGGCGGAAGCCUGAUGCAGCAACGCCGCGUGCGGGACGACGGCCUUCGGGUUGUAAACCGCUUUCGCCUGUGACGAAGCGUGAGUGACGGUAAUGGGUAAAGAAGCACCGGCUAACUACGUG